CGCGCUCGCUUUUGCAUUACGCAAGAACCACGCCUAAGUCGAAGCUGUCGGUGCACCGAUCGAAAGCCGAUCGCCGCUGCAGCCGCGAUCCAGAGCAAUCUAACUGCCGUCCGAUCUACUUCGUCUCACUGGUUCGGCAGUUGGACCGAUUAGCGUCGGUGUCACAGCUUUGACGAAAACAUGGAAAGGAUGGUACGAUUAGAAAACUGAGAAACGCCUUCGUAACCUGAAUACUUGUAAAGUGAAGAUUCCGAAGUGGGUCAAUUUAACUAUUAGUGUUAAACUUCCGUACUUAAAGGUUAACCCGGAAAAGACUAAACAGACGAAAGGAUUAUACGAAGGCAACAAAAAGGAACGCAGUGGGAUUAAAAAAUUCUCGUCGAUGCAACAGCGACCGAGCUGCCCGUUCGUUCGGUCUUGCUUGAAAAACCAGCGUCGAUUGCAGGUUGUAGUGGCUGACCAGUCUGCAGUUCGCUCCAUGUCGUGAUGGGUAACCGCCGAUUUCGUAAAGUAGCUACCCUAGUCCGGAUCAAGCGUGAAUUUCGAGGCGUGAUUACGACAGAGAGCAGGUGGCCGCCGUUUAUCGGGAAGGAAGUCACGCGUGCGGAAUUCCUCGUCUGCUGAAACGCGAUCGGGGUCGCUGGAUGUAUACGAAAAUGAAAGACGGUAGAUUUCACUCGCGGUCAGGCGACUUCCUGGCUUUCCCCGCGGAAUGUUUACACGCUUGCACGCCGGGAUCGCGAGACGAGCGCUUCUCGCGUUCGCGCCCAUAACAAGUGCCACGGCGCUCUCCGUAGAUCCGAUCAACGGCGUUCGUUCGAUCGAUCGAUCGAUCGAUCGGCCGCACGUCGGGAUCAUACCUUGAAUUGAUGAAUUUGGUUCCGUGUGGACGCGCCCGAACAACACGCGACCUUUGCACAAAAUUUCCUGUAGGCGCGCUAGAAAACAACGAUUUGCAUGUGCACGCUCCGCGGCGUUACGUAAAACGACAGGCGCGUGGCGAUCACGAGUGAAAUCGGACUAAAAUGCUAAAGUGGAAAUCAAGGUUCAAUAACUCCGUUAUUCACCGGCUCGGCAACUGUCGGGACAAUUCAGCACCCUGAAAUAUUGGAGGCAGUCCCCGUCACGUGAAAUUAUGUUGGGUUCCUUGGUCUGUGGCUAUUAUUCGGGUUUAGUGGAUUUUGGAAUACGGAUACCAUGGAAUUUUGUUUUAGGUUGUAUGAAAUAUUUCUGAUAAGAAAAUUAGUCUGGUGGAAAGAUCUUGUCGCUUCACUUUUCAAUGUGACGUUUAUAUUAUAACGUGUAAAUAAAUAUUACAAGUAUGUAAACUAAAAGACGACAGAAAGCAUUAGAAUAAAAUUUGCAGUUCGGUAAACUUUCAUUCAACGAAAUGAAAUUUUUCUUUAUUGAUAUGUAUAAAUAUAAAUAGUCUGUGAGAGAGGAUGUUUUUCAGGUAAUAAUUUGUAUGUAUAUUUGAAGGUGUUCAUGAUAAUAUAGAAGGUGAGUCACCUAACAUUGAACGUACAAAAUUUGUAUUGAUCUUAGUACGUUGAUUAUUAUCAAAUAUACAUGUAAACUCAUUGGAUCAAUACAGAAACUGAUCGUUUAAUUUUUAUUUUUCAAUGUAUAAGGGUAAUUUUUAUGUUUAUUAUUCCCUAUAAACUUACAAUAUAAAACCACUGAGUUAUAAAUGUAUUUGUCGUGCAAUCUAUAGUUUCUAAAGUAUUUAAAAAUGUAUAUUUUCAGCUUCGAACUUUAAGGGUUGUUCUCACGCUUUUAAUAUAGAAGAUACUCAAUAACAGAGUAUAUAUGAAAUAUUUUUCAGAGAACAGUCCUCAAUAUAAAUUUUAUAAAGAUAAAUCAAUUCAGAUUUAACUUUCUUCAUUCUUAUCAUUGGAUUUUAUCGAAAUAUCCAUGGUGAUGAUGAAAAUUCAGUUGAAUUAAUGGUGACUGAAAAUGAAUAAAUCAAAAUUUUAAAAGGGACUGUAGAGUAGUAUAAAAAUAAAUAAUUUAGAGUGAUCCAAAAUGAAAUAUAUGGAGAUAGUAAAAGUUGUAUGGAAUGCUUAAAAAUAGGAAACAAGAAAAGAGGAUAAAACACUGCAAAAUAUAAAAUUUGAUGUAGAAGUGGAGAAGUGAGAUACAACAUCAAAGUUGUAAAAAGUACCAGAAUAAAAUAUAU